GGUGAGGUAAUGGCUCACCAAGGCGACGACGGGUAGCCGGCCUGAGAGGGUGACCGGCCACACUGGGACUGAGACACGGCCCAGACUCCUACGGGAGGCAGCAGUGGGGAAUAUUGCACAAUGGGCGCAAGCCUGAUGCAGCAACGCCGCGUGGGGGAUGACGGCCUUCGGGUUGUAAACCUCUUUUAGCAGGGAAGAAGCCUUUCGGGGUGACGGUACCUGCAGAAAAAGCACCGGCUAACUACGUGCCAGCAGCCGCGGUAAUACGUAGGGUGCGAGCGUUGUCCGGAAUUAUUGGGCGUAAAGAGCUCGUAGGCGGUUUGUCGCGUCUGCUGUGAAAACCCGAGGCUCAACCUCGGGCCUGCAGUGGGUACGGGCAGACUAGAGUGCGGUAGGGGAGAAUGGAACUCCUGGUGUAGCGGUGGAAUGCGCAGAUAUCAGGAAGAACACCGAUGGCGAAGGCAGUUCUCUGGGCCGUAACUGACGCUGAGGAGCGAAAGCGUGGGGAGCGAACAGGAUUAGAUACCCUGGUAGUCCACGCCGUAAACGUUGGGCGCUAGAUGUGGGGACCAUUCCACGGUUUCCGUGUCGCAGCUAACGCAUUAAGCGCCCCGCCUGGGGAGUACGGCCGCAAGGCUAAAACUCAAAGGAAUUGACGGGGGCCCGCACAAGCGGCGGAGCAUGCGGAUUAAUUCGAUGCAACGCGAAGAACCUUACCAAGGCUUGACAUAUACCGGUAACGGCUAGAAAUGGUCGCCCCGCAAGGUCGGUAUACAGGUGGUGCAUGGUUGUCGUCAGCUCGUGUCGUGAGAUGUUGGGUUAAGUCCCGCAACGAGCGCAACCCUCGUUCUAUGUUGCCAGCACGUUAUGGUGGGAACUCAUAGGAGACUGCCGGGGUCAACUCGGAGGAAGGUGGGGAUGACGUCAAAUCAUCAUGCCCCUUAUGUCUUGGGCUUCACGCAUGCUACAAUGGCCGGUACAAAGGGCUGCGAUACCGUAAGGUGGAGCGAAUCCCAAAAAGCCGGUCUCAGUUCGGAUUGAGGUCUGCAACUCGACCUCAUGAAGUCGGAGUCGCUAGUAAUCGCAGAUCAGCAACGCUGCGGUGAAUACGUUCCCGGGCCUUGUACACACCGCCCGUCAAGUCAUGAAAGUCGGUAACACCCGAAGCCGG
rnacentral:rRNA from 1 species